rnacentral:rRNA from 1 species
CUACGGGUUGCACCAGUGGGGAAUAUUGCACAAUGGAGGAAACUCUGAUGCAGCAACGCCGCGUGGAGGAUGACACUUUUCGGAGCGUAAACUCCUUUUAUAUAGGAAGAAGAUGACGGUACUAUAUGAAUAAGCGCCGGCUAACUCCGUGCCAGCAGCCGCGGUAAUACGGAGGGCGCAAGCGUUACUCGGAAUCACUGGGCGUAAAGAGCGUGUAGGCGGAUUAAAAAGUCAGAAGUGAAAUCCUAUAGCUUAACUAUAGAACUGCUUCUGAAACUCUUAAUCUAGAAUGUGGGAGAGGUAGAUGGAAUUUCUGGUGUAGGGGUAACAUCCGUAGAGAUCAGAAGGAAUACCGAUUGCGAAGGCGAUCCACUAGAACAUUAUUGACGCUGAGACGCGAAAGCGUGGGGAGCAAACAGGAUUAGAUACCCGGGUAGUA